rnacentral:lncRNA from 1 species
UAAUGGAAUCAGGGGGCGGGACUUCCUCAUGCUAUUCUCAUGAUAGCAAAUAAGUCUCAUGAGAUAUUAUGAUUUCAUAAAGGGGAGUUUCCUUGCACACAUUCUCUCUUGCCUGCCAUCAUGUAAGAUGUGGUUUUUGCUCCUCUUUUGUCUUCUGCCAUGGUUGUGAGGCCUCCCCAGUCAUGUGGAACUGAAUUGGAGGCAAGGGUGAGAGAAGAACAGACAGAAAAGUCAUUCUUGAGCAUUAGAUGUCAUCACAGCAAGUUGACUUUCCUCUUCUGUGGCACAGAGAAGCUCUUCACUCACUAG